GAUCGACCACAAACAGCCCGUGUGUGUGUGUGAGCAGCAUCUGCUGGGAACAGGGGUACAACUUCACAUCUUCCUGGAGCCUCUGCCCAGGGGCCCUGAUUGGCUGGGCCGCCUCUGGGGAGCCUGUCACGUGGGCCCCACCUGUCAGCACCAAUUGGGGUCUCCCAGACACCUGCUCUGCGCCCGGGGUUGCCAUGGGGACGGGCCGGCGGGGCGCGUGUGGGCACACCUGUCUGUGUCGGCGUGGCGCUGUGGCCGCCGCUGAGCUGUCCACACGAGCACGGAGGGGAGGCCCUGACCACUGUCCCCUCCCGCACUGGGAAAGGAAGGAGGCCUUCUUUUGCUCUCCUCCAAUUCCACACCUCCGGGAUAGGGAUUCAGGAAGCUUCCCCCAAUUUCCAAUGAAAGACACAGAGGCUCGGAGAAAGGAGUUCACUUGCGUAAGGUCGCCGAGCCCUCGGAAAGUUCCAGAGCUGGUGAGGGUUGGGGUGGGGGCGGGAGGGCCUCAAGAGUCCAGAAGACGCCCUUGCCCGGUGGAGCCCUGGCCCUCUACCCUCCACCCAGCCAGAGGCAGGUGCAGGCUCCGCAUCAGAUGUAUACGACGAGAAGACAGUGCAACCUGGCUGCCCCAGUUUGGAGCAUUACGGCCGUUGGCGCUGCUGAUCGGCUCUGGCGUCUCCUGGCUGCCUCCUCCUCAGCUCCACUCAGACACACCCCCAGCCCCCUCCCCUCCCCAGCCCCCCCCCCCACCGCACCCCUGCCUGCAGGCCACAGGCCCUCCCGCCCAGCAGGGGAGAGAGAAGCACAGCCACCCGGCCCCCAGGAUGGACAGUGAGCCAACAGGAGGACAGAGGGAGGGGCCUCAGCCCUUCUCAACACAGCAGCCACGAGCCCAGUCCUGGCCAGAACAGUCCGGGCCCCGGGGACCAGCUCUGCGAAUUAGAAGGUCACGGAGCCAGGAAACGGCAGACGCCAGGAGGGCCUGACCCGGGACUGGGUCACCACGUGCAGUGGAGGACGGCGGGAGGCCUCGGUGGUGGCACCACCCCGGCCAUCCUGGCGGCCCUGGGCACCCGUGCACCAGCCUGUCCCGGGGCCCAGCACUGCCGGGCUCGGCAAGCAGACGCUGCCGGUCAGGAAUGCAGAAUUGGCCUUUAAAUACUUCAGUGAUUUCAUGCCGUGGCGUCUCCCUCUUCCCCAGCCGCCCGAGGCGCCGGGCCGCGCCGCUGAGGCCUAAUGAGCUGUGAAGGUCCAUUUUUCAAAGUUAAACAUUUCCCGGGCUCCCUGGCCCAGGCUUUAGCUGCAGCCUGGAAACGUCCUGGGUGCGGGGCCCACACGGCCACCGGCGAGGCUGCUGCCCACACGGGUUUCCAGAACACCCUCCGCUCUGUUCUCACUGCCCGCCGGUGCCCGCGGACAACCAACCCAG
rnacentral:lncRNA from 1 species